AUUGAACGCUGGCGGCAGGCCUAACACAUGCAAGUCGGGCGGAUGAAGGGAGCUUGCUCCUGGAUUCAGCGGCGGACGGGUGAGUAAUGCCUAGGAAUCUGCCUGGUAGUGGGGGAUAACGUCCGGAAACGGGCGCUAAUACCGCAUACGUCCUGAGGGAGAAAGUGGGGGAUCUUCGGACCUCACGCUAUCAGAUGAGCCUAGGUCGGAUUAGCUAGUUGGUGGGGUAAAGGCCUACCAAGGCGACGAUCCGAAACUGGUCUGAGAGGAUGAUCAGUCACACUGGAACUGAGACACGGUCCAGACUCCUACGGGAGGCAGCAGUGGGGAAUAUUGGACAAUGGGCGAAAGCCUGAUCCAGCCAUGCCGCGUGUGUGAAGAAGGUCUUCGGAUUGUAAAGCACUUUAAGUUGGGAGGAAGGGCAGUAAGUUAAUACCUUGCUGUUUUGACGUUACCAACAGAAUAAGCACCGGCUAACUUCGUG
rnacentral:rRNA from 1 species